AUAUCAUAUGAAAUUAGCCUUUCUAAGUACCCACUUUGGAUAUUGGUUCCUGGUUAUAUGAACGGUGUAAACAUUGGCUAGAGAGAGUUUAAAUCCAUGCGAGAAAGUGUACUAUUGCACACUUCGGGAAAAAUAUGUAGAUUUAAGGAAUGAGACAAGAUACGCAACCAAAUAAAUUAGACGCAGCCUGGCACCGAAAUCAGGAAAUAUCACCAUGCUAUGGUUCCCGGGAAAUGGAUGUAGGCCUUUCUUUGGAGCAUGGGGCUGAUGACAAUGCUCAGGAAAAAAUGAGGCCUCAUCUCCCUGCACAACUCAGCCUCAUACGGGCACAUGCAUAUUGCGGCCUUCCUGAUCAAGUUCAAUACCCAAGUGAACGAAACAGACAAGUGAGCCUUCAACCCUCUCCACAAAAGACAGACCUCCCCCUCCGCCUCGUGUCAUUGGAGGCCAGCCGGCUUAUACCGUCCACCGGAUACUGGAUUCCCGCCGGGUGCAGCGGUCCUGGCAGUAUCUGGUGGACUGGGAAGGCUACGGUCCUGAGGAGCGCUCCUGGGUUCCUGCCAAAGACAUCCUGGACCCUGACCUCAUUCGUCAGUUCAGGGUCCUCCACCCUGAGAGAGCUGGUAGGAACGUCAGGAGCCGUUCCUAGGGGGGAUUCUGUCAGGAUUUGGCCAGGGUUGUUCCGUGUUUUUGUCAGUAGAUGUCCCCAUUGUGCUUUUUGUCCCUGUGUUUUUCCCUUGAUCCCCAUUAUUGUUUGCACCUGUGUCUCGUUUCCCCUGAUUGUAUUUAAACCCUUUGUUUCCCUCAGUUCUGUGCUCUGUGUUUGUAUGUUGGCACCCUGCCCUAGUGUUCUGUGUGCUCUUGUCGAUUCCGGGUGAAGUUCUUGUAGUAUUCUGUUUUUUGUUUUUGUUUAGUUUUAGUGAGUUUCUUUUAGGUUUUUUUUGUGUUUUACCUACCACCUUUUGGAUUUGCCAUUUUUUAUUUUAGGAGUUUUUCUUUAUUAAAUUCACCGUCU